rnacentral:lncRNA from 1 species
AUGAAGCUUUUCUUCAGCUCUGACAGAGGACAUUUUAUUAAAAAGAAACUGAGUAUUUUAUUUAUCGUUGGUUUCUCUUCAUGGUUCACAGCUUGUAAUGAUUUGAGGCAACAAAGCAUCUAUUACAAGGACAUAUGCAUAGAGCACAUAUUGUGAAGAUUGGAUUUGGCUCUCCCAUGAUUGUAACAAUGAAGGAAGUAAGAAAAGUACAAGUCAGACUUCUCAGACUAUUAUUCAAUAGAGAACUCCCUUUGGAGAUAAG